AAAAUAAUCUCCAUUAUCUCCGUAUUAAACCAUCUGACGGACAUGUUCUAAGAACUGAUAACUAGAGAGGUUAAAUGUUCUAAGAACUGAUAACUAGAGAGGUUAAAUGUUCUAACUGAUAACUAGAGAGGUUAAAUGUUCUAACUGAUAACUAGAGGUUAAAUGUUCUAACUGAUAACUAGAGAGGUUAAAUGUUCUAACUGAUAACUAGAGAGGUUAAAUGUUCUAACUGAUAACUAGAGAGGUUAAAUGUUCUAACUGAUAACUAGAGAGGUUAAAUGUUCUAACUGAUAACUAGAGAGG